GAUGAACGCUGGCGGCGUGCCUAACACAUGCAAGUCGAACGAAGCGCCUUUUGAGAUUCUUCGGAUGAUCGAUUGGUGACUGAGUGGCGGACGGGUGAGUAACGCGUGGGUAACCUGCCCUGUACAGGGGGAUAACAGCUGGAAACGGCUGCUAAUACCGCAUAAGCGCACGAGGAGACAUCUCCUAGUGUGAAAAACUCCGGUGGUACAGGAUGGGCCCGCGUCUGAUUAGCUGGUUGGCAGGGUAACGGCCUACCAAGGCAACGAUCAGUAGCCGGUCUGAGAGGAUGAACGGCCACAUUGGAACUGAGACACGGUCCAAACUCCUACGGGAGGCAGCAGUGGGGAAUAUUGCACAAUGGGGGAAACCCUGAUGCAGCAACGCCGCGUGAGUGAAGAAGUAUUUCGGUAUGUAAAGCUCUAUCAGCAGGGAAGAUAAUGACGGUACCUGACUAAGAAGCUCCGGCUAAAUACGUGCCAGCAGCCGCGGUAAUACGUAUGGAGCAAGCGUUAUCCGGAUUUACUGGGUGUAAAGGGUGCGUAGGUGGCAGUGCAAGUCAGAUGUGAAAGGCCGGGGCUCAACCCCGGAGCUGCAUUUGAAACUGCAUAGCUAGAGUACAGGAGAGGCAGGCGGAAUUCCUAGUGUAGCGGUGAAAUGCGUAGAUAUUAGGAGGAACACCAGUGGCGAAGGCGGCCUGCUGGACUGUUACUGACACUGAGGCACGAAAGCGUGGGGAGCAAACAGGAUUAGAUACCCUGGUAGUCCACGCCGUAAACGAU
rnacentral:rRNA from 1 species